rnacentral:rRNA from 1 species
UCGAGAAUUUUUCUCAAUGGGCGCAAGCCUGAUGGAGCGACGCCGCGUGGGGGAUGAGGGGUUUCGAUCCGUAAACCCCUGUCAUUUGCGAACAAACCUUGAUUGUGAAUAGCGAUCGAGCUGAUUGUAGCGGAAGAGGAAGGGACGGCUAACUCUGUGCCAGCAGCCGCGGUAAUACAGAGGUCCCAAGCGUUGUUCGGAUUCACUGGGCGUAAAGGGUGCGUAGGUGGUCGGUGAAGUUCGGUGUGAAAGCUCGGAGCUCAACUCCGAAACGGCAUUGAAAACUCAUCGGCUGGAGGGUCGGAGGGGAGACUGGAAUUCUCGGUGUAGCAGUGAAAUGCGUAGAUAUCGAGAGGAACACCAGUGGCGAAGGCGAGUCUCUGGACGACUCCUGACACUGAGGCACGAAAGCCAGGGGAGCAAACAG